GCAUGCAUGUGUAAGUGUAAAUAUACUAGUUUGAAACUGCGAAUGGCUCAUUAUAUCAGUUAUAGUUUAUUUGAUGAAGUGUACUACUUGGAUAACCGUAGUAAUUCUAGGGCUAAUACAUGAGAAAGUCCUCUGGUGAGGUGUGUUUAUUAGAAUGAAAACCAUAUGCUUCGGCAUGAUAGAGAGUAAUAGUAACCUAUCGUAUCGCAUGCUUAAUGUAACGAUGAGUCUUUCAAGUUUCUGCCCUAUCAUCUUUCGAUGGUAGUAUAUGGGCCUACCAUGGCAGUAACGGGUAACGAAGAAUUUGGGUUCGAUUUCGAAGAGGGAGCCUGAAAGAUGGCUACCACAUCCGAGGAAGGCAGCAGGCGCGUAUAUUACCCAAUCCUGACACAGGGAGGUAAUGACAAUAAAUCACGAUGCGGGACUAUCAGUCUUGCAAUUGGAUUGAGAACAAUGUACUACUCUUAUCGAUAAUCCAUUGGAGGGCAAGUCUGG
rnacentral:rRNA from 1 species